UUGAAAACUAGGGUGCCCAAUUUAACUUGGAACCCAACCUUCUCAAUUCUAACUUUGUGCAUCUGUAUAAUGGCGAAGCAGAUCUUCGGAUCUGUGAGCCUUCACUUACAAAACAUCAGUCUAUGAAUGUAAAAUUUUAUAACAAAUAA
rnacentral:misc_RNA from 1 species